GCUGUGAAGCCAGACCGGAAGGACUGGUGGAGCGCUUAGAAGUGAGAAUGCCGGUAUGAGUAGCGAAAGAGGGGUGAGAAUCCCCUCCACCGAAUGCCUAAGGUUUCCUGAGGAAGGCUCGUCCGCUCAGGGUUAGUCGGGACCUAAGCCGAGGCCGAAAGGCGUAGGCGAUGGACAACAGGUUGAUAUUCCUGUACCACCUCCUCACCAUUUGAGCAAUGGGGGGAUGCAGGAGGAUAGGGUAAGCGCGGUAUUGGAUAUCCGCGUCCAAGCAGUUAGGCUGGGAAAUAGGCAAAUCCGUUUCCCAUAAGGCUGAGCUGUGAUGGCGAGCGAAAUAUAGUAGCGAAGUUCCUGAUUCCACACUGCCAAGAAAAGCCUCUAGCGAGGUGAGAGGUGCCCGUACCGCAAACCGACACAGGUAGGCGAGGAGAGAAUCCUAAGGUGAUCGAGAGAACUCUCGUUAAGGAACUCGGCAAAAUGACCCCGUAACUUCGGGAGAAGGGGUGCUCUGUUAGGGUGCAAGCCCGAGAGAGCCGCAGUGAAUAGGCCCAGGCGACUGUUUAGCAAAAGCACAGGUCUCUGCGAAGCCGUAAGGCGAAGUAUAGGGGCUGACGCCUGCCCGGUGCUGGAAGGUUAAGAGGAGCGCUUAGCGUAAGCGAAGGUGCGAAUUGAAGCCCCAGUAAACGGCGGCCGUAACAAUAACGGUCCUAAGGUAGCGAAAUUCCUUGUCGGGUAAGUUCCGACCCGCACGAAAGGCGCAACGAUCUGGGCACUGUCUCAACGAGAGACUCGGUGAAAUUAUAGUACCUGUGAAGAUGCAGGUUACCCGCGACAGGACGGAAAGACCCCGUGGAGCUUUACUGCAGCCUGAUAUUGAAUGUUGGUACAGCUUGUACAGGAUAGGUAGGAGCCUUGGAAACCGGAGCGCCAGCUUUGGUGGAGGCAUCGGUGGGAUACUACCCUGGCUGUAUUGACCUUCUAACCCGCCGCCCUUAUCGGGCGGGGAGACAGUGUCAGGUGGGCAGUUUGACUGGGGCGGUCGCCUCCUAAAAGGUAACGGAGGCGCCCAGAGGUUCCCUCAGAAUGGUUGGAAAUCAUUCGCAGAGUGUAAAGGCACAAGGGAGCUUGACUGCGAGACCUACAAGUCGAGCAGGGACGAAGGUCGGGCUUAGUGAUCCGGUGGUUCCGCAUGGAAGGGCCAUCGCUCAACGGAUAAAAGCUACCCCGGGGAUAACAGGCUUAUCUCCCCCAAGAGUCCACAUCGACGGGGAGGUUUGGCACCUCGAUGUCGGCUCAUCGCAUCCUGGGGCUGUAGUCGGUCCCAAGGGUUGGGCUGUUCGCCCAUUAAAGCGGUGCGCGAGCUGGGUUCAGAACGUCGUGAGACAGUUCGGUCCCUAUCCGUCGCGGGCGCAGGAAAUUUGAGAGGAGCUGUCCUUAGUACGAGAGGACCGGGAUGGACGCACCGCUGGUGUACCAGUUGUUCUGCCAAGGGCAUCGCUGGGUAGCUAUGUGCGGACGGGAUAAGUGCUGAAAGCAUCUAAGCAUGAAGCCCCCCUCAAGAUGAGAUUUCCCAUUCCGCAAGGAAGUAAGAUCCCUGAAAGAUGAUCAGGUUGAUAGGUCUGAGGUGGAAGUGUGGCGACACAUGGAGCUGACAGAUACUAAUCGAUCGAGG
rnacentral:rRNA from 1 species